GAAAUGCGAUAAGUAAUGUGAAUUGCAGAAUUCAGUGAAUCAUCGAAUCUUUGAACGCACCUUGCGCCCUUUGGCUAUUCUGAAGGGCAUGCCUGUUUGAGUAUCAUGAACACCUCAACUCUCAUGGUCCGCCAUGAUGAGCUUGGACUUUGGGGGCCUUGCCGGCCUACUGCCGGCUCCUCUCAAAUGAAUCAGCUUGCCAGUGUUUGGUGGCAUCACAGGUGUGAUAACUAUCUACGCUUGUGGUCUGCCGCCAGGUAACCUCCAGUGAUGGAGGUUCGCUGGAGCUCACAAAUGUCUCUCCUCAGCGAGGACAGCUUCUUGAAUGUUUGAUCUCAAAUCAGGUAGGACUACCCGCUGAACUUAA
rnacentral:misc_RNA from 1 species